rnacentral:lncRNA from 1 species
CUUUUCCCUUUAAGCAAGAUCCCUUCCCGAAGGCAGGUGACCAUCAUCUCCCACUCUGAUUUUCAGUACAAUCAGAAUGACCUGGUCAGAGGGAGUCCAGGGACAAAUCCUGCAUGAAUACAAGAACAGGGUAGGGGUCGAAGAAACUUCAGAGCUGCUUGUUCUUGUGUGGCACAGGAACAGGAGCUGAUGCCACACUGCCAAAGUGAGAGAACUUAAAGAUGACGACCUUUUCAGACUGAAGUUUCUUGUGCUACUAUCAAAAAAGCUUGACUGAUCCAGCAAAGUGCCAAUCUCCUGGCUACGUAAAUGGAGAAACAUCUUUUUUCUUGUGAAUGUAUAAGGAAUUACGGGCCCAGGCUUGAGAACCUGGCAGGGAGAAUUUCUAUGCUCUGGAUAAUUUUCAAAAUAUAAGCAAAUUCCCACACAACAUAUAGUAGAUUCUUGGUUGCUCGCUGGAUCCUACUCAUUUUAUUUCACUGUGACCUAGAAAUGAUUCCAACAAUUAUCAAAUGGCUCCUCCCCUUCCAUAUGUGUCCAUCAUGGAACUCAAG